CCCGCCCUGAAGGAUCAUGUUUUCCCGAUAAAACUCUCCCCUGACGUCCUGUGCUCGAACCAGGCAGUUCCUACAGGUUUUCUCACCUUUGGUUGGAUUUGCUGAAUGUCUUGAAAGAUGGUCAGGAGGAGUCCCAACAACCAGUGCGUCCUAUUUAUCUGACACAGCAAUAGUUAAGAUUUUCCUACCUACAGAAGGCUUUGCUAAGUGCCUUGAAGUCCGAUCAGGGAGAUGUACAAUAGCCACACCGUCUCAGUCAUCUGGGCAACGACUAGAUGUGAAACCAACUCUACCAGACCAAAGGUGGAGCAACAGAGCAGGCGGGCGGAAGUGUUUCCUCGUGACGCUGUGGAAUAUUCCCUGUGAAGUCCUAGUUCUGGCUUUCUGGAGUUUCUCCCUGGUGACCCACUGGCUGCCCGAGUCUCAUCUUCGCCUCUUCUGAUUGACCAUAAACCAAGGGACUCUGGAGAACCGGACUGCACUUGGGAGGUGAUUCAGCUGUUGGAUUCAGGUGUGUUGGACCAGGGAGGCAUCUAAGAGUUGCAGGAUACCAACCCUCGAGGACCAGGAGUGCCCACCCCUGCCAUAAACCAUUCCUGGAUUUCUCAGCUGGCAGUCGGACCGUUCCUCUGUUUUCCUCCAUGCCUGAACUUACCUGUCCGCCCUCCGCCGCAGCCUCCACAUCAUCACCCAGAACAAACUCAGCCGAGCCCACUCUCUGGAACCUGGAUUACCUCAAAGACACCCACAAAGGAACCAAAACCACGAACCUGCAGUUUCCCCUCUUCUUGGUGGAAAUAAUCGUCAAGUAAGAUCAGUCUAACUACUCUCGAAGUUCCCAUUUCUGAAAACCACAAACUCACCAUCUUCCUUUGCUGUUUCGUGUGCAGAUGACUCUUUAAGCCUAACCCAAGGAUCAGAUCCACUCAACCAAUCUUUUCAUAUUGUUUAAAUAAACUUUAUUUAGCUGAUUCUUGUUCUCCUGAUGUUCUGCAUGUGGGUUAAGAAGCUAGAACCCAACAUGACACUAAGCAGAUAAAAAUACACACACACACACACGCCCACGCACGCACACACACACACACACACGCACACACGCACGCACACACACACAAUACUUUCAGCAAAUGUAAUGUUUAAAAAACUCAAAAAAGCUUCCUAGGGUCACAUAAAAAU